rnacentral:sRNA from 1 species
CAGGCGAAGAAGGACGUU